AAAAGGGGCUUCUGUCUACUGUGAGUGGCACGCAUAGGGCAGUUGAUUGCUCUAUGUGAGAAUCGACAUCAAGAGAUUUCAGAAGCAUAACCUUUUGGUAUCUGGGAAGCUGGUAAUCAUUAGUCCUGGUCCCCAA